rfam:Bipolaris zeicola 26-R-13 unplaced genomic scaffold scaffold_275, whole genome shotgun sequence.
GCAUCGGUGGUUUAGUGGUAAAAUUAGCCGUUGCCAUCUCUCUUCGAGAUCAGUUUCGGCUAGCCCCGGGUUCGAUUCCCGGCCGAUGCA